GUUCGCUCCGAGUCUCCAGCCUGCCGAGAGCUGAAGCGAUCCUCCCUCUGUGUCUUCCGCAGCCCUCCGCCUCGCCGCCUCUCAGUCUCCUCAGAGUCGCCCUCUCUCACCGCCGCCGCCAUGAACGGGCAGCUCAACGGCUUCCACGAGGCGUUCAUUGAGGAGGGGACGUUCCUCUUCACUUCCGAGUCUGUAGGGGAAGGUCACCCAGGUGAGCCGACGGGGACUCGGAGGAGGGAAGGGCGGAGGGCAGUGGCGCUGGGGGUGGUCGAGGCCGUCUCCGGCGGCGGUGGGCAUGGCAGCGGCCGCGCGCUUCCCUCGUGGCGCCGCGAGUUUGCAAUGUGCGGCCCCGCUCCCCUCCCCCUUUCUCCGCUCCUCAUCCGGCGGCGCGCCCCGGCAUGCGGAAGGUUCCAGAAAUCGAGAAGGGCGGGGGCUCGAGGCAGUUUUGAGAUCGGCGCGGGGAGGGCACUGCUUCCUCCUCUUUAGUCCCGUCGCCUGGAAAAACCUCAAGUGGGCGACCCCGCCCCGCGUGCUCGCGUCCGGCCGCCGGGAGCGCGCGCCCCGCAUUGCAGCGGCUACCACGUGUUCGCCGCAUGUGGAAUUGGGGCGAAGCGGAGCUGGCGGCCUCUACCCACCCGACCCCUAGUUUGGAAGUGGGGGCUGGUGUCUCCGAAGGUCCCAUCUCUAAUAUCCCUGACUUCCGGCCCCUGGAAAACGCUUAAGAGCAUGGGUAGACAUGCCCUUUAGCCUUCAAGGU
rnacentral:lncRNA from 1 species